UCAUUUAGAGGAAGUAAAAGUCGUAACAAGGUUUCCGUAGGUGAACCUGCGGAAGGAUCAUUACAGUUAUUAGUUCCAGGCCAGCGCUUAAUUGCGCGGCGGGAAAUAAUCCUUACACACUGUGUUUUUUAUAUUCGUGAUAAAUUACUUUGGUUCUGGACCUAGAAAUAGGUUUUUGGGGCCAGAGGUUUACUACCAAAACUUCAAUUUUUUAAUUGAAUUGUUUAUUAUAUUUAUUUUGUCAAUUUGUUUGAUUAAUUUCAAAAAUAAUCUUCAAAACUUUCAACAACGGAUCUCUUGGUUCUCGCAUCGAUGAAGAACGCAGCGAAAUGCGAUAAGUAAUAUGAAUUGCAGAUUUUCGUGAAUCAUCGAAUCUUUGAACGCACAUUGCGCCCUCUGGUAUUCCAUAGGGCAUGCCUGUUUGAGCGUCAUUUCUCUCUCAAACCCCCACGGGUUUGGUAUUGAGUGAUACUCUUAGUCAGACUAGGCGUUUGCUUGAAAAGUAAUGGCAUGAGCGUACUAGAUAGUGCGACUUGAUUUAUUCAAUGUAUUAGGUUUAUCCAACUCGUUGAACAGAUCGGACGUAAAUUUCUGGUAUUGAAAGGCUCGGGCCGUACAACGACCAAACAAGUUUGACCUCAAAUCAGGUAAGAAUACCCGCUGAACUUAAGCAUAUCAAUAAGCGGAGGAAAAGAAACCAACAGGGAUUGCCUCAGUAGCGGCGAGUGAAGCGGCAAUAGCUCAAAUUUGAAAUCUGGCACCUUUGGUGUCCGAGUUGUAAUUUGAAGAAGGUAUCUUUGGGUUUGGCGCUUGUCUAUGUUUCUUGGAACAGGACGUCAUAGAGGGUGAGAAUCCCGUGUGAUGAGCUGCCCAAAUCCGUGUAAAGUUCCUUCGACGAGUCGAGUUGUUUGGGAAUGCAGCUCUAAGUGGGUGGUAAAUUCCAUCUAAAGCUAAAUAUUGGCGAGAGACCGAUAGCGAACAAGUACUGUGAAGGAAAGAUGAAAAGAACUUUGAAAAGAGAGUGAAAAAGUACGUGAAAUUGUUGAAAGGGAAGGGCUUGAGGUCAGACUUGGUUUUACCAGGCCAGCAUCAGUUUGGGUGGUAGGAGAAUGGCGAAGGAAUGUGGCUCGGCUUCGGUCAAGUGUUAUAGCCUUUGUUGAUACUGCCUACCUAGACUGAGGACUGCGUCUUUUGACAAGGAUGCUGGCAUAAUGGCCUUAA
rnacentral:sRNA from 1 species